UACGUAGGGUGCAAGCGUUGUCCGGAAUUAUUGGGCGUAAAGAGCUCGUAGGCGGUUUGUUGCGUCGGCUGUGAAAUCCCGAGGCUCAACCUCGGGUCUGCAGUCGAUACGAGCAAACUAGAGUGUUGCAGGGGAGACUGGAAUUCCUGGUGUAGCGGUGAAAUGCGCAGAUAUCAGGAGGAACACCGGUGGCGAAGGCGGAUCUCUGGGCCAUUACUGACGCUGAGAAGCGAAAGCAUGGGGAGCGAACAGG
rnacentral:rRNA from 1 species